AGUGAACGCUGGCGGUAGGCCUAACACAUGCAAGUCGAACGGCAGCACAGUAAGAGCUUGCUCUUACGGGUGGCGAGUGGCGGACGGGUGAGGAAUACAUCGGAAUCUACUUUUUCGUGGGGGAUAACGUAGGGAAACUUACGCUAAUACCGCAUACGACCUACGGGUGAAAGCAGGGGAUCUUCGGACCUUGCGCGAUUGAAUGAGCCAAUGUCGGAUUAGCUAGUUGGCGGGGUAAAGGCCCACCAAGGCGACGAUCCGUAGCUGGUCUGAGAGGAUGAUCAGCCACACUGGAACUGAGACACGGUCCAGACUCCUACGGGAGGCAGCAGUGGGGAAUAUUGGACAAUGGGCGCAAGCCUGAUCCAGCCAUACCGCGUGGGUGAAGAAGGCCUUCGGGUUGUAAAGCCCUUUUGUUGGGAAAGAAAAGCAGCAGGUUAAUACCCCGCUGUUCUGACGGUACCCAAAGAGUAAGCACCGGCCAACUUCGUG
rnacentral:rRNA from 1 species